GCUCAUUUGCUAAAAAUAUACAAGUAUUGAUUCCAUUUCCUAACUAUUAUACUAUGUGAAUAUAUUGGCAAUUAAUCCAAUUAUAUAUAAAAGGAGAUACAGUAGAAUUGAAAUAGCUACCAGUUAACCAGUUUCAAUUGAAUAACUACUUUAAUUUCUGUAUCAAGCCUCCUGGGUAUUAUUGUUUGCUAAACAUCAUUGAGGGGGCACUUGUUCUAAAUAUAUGCAAUAAGUCUGGUUACCAUUAAAAAUGUCCAUAUUCAGAGUUACCGUUGUACUAUAUUUUAUUAAAAUACUGCAGAAAUGCAAAAUAUUUCAUGAUUUUAAGAAUUAAUUGAAUGAGGGCUGCAUGGUUAAAAGAGGAGGGGGGCUUAUUUAUUUUUAUUUUUUUUUCCAAAUGAGGGGGGGGGCAUGCUUAUUUAUUUUUGUAUCCAAAUGAGGAGGGGGGUUAUUGGAGAGGGGCUUGAAGAGAAGGGGGCUAAAUAUAGAAAUUACAGUUGUACCUCCAUUCCUUCCUCUCCAGGCACAGAUUUUCUGGGGGGGGGGGUGCACACACCCCAGAAAUGAUUUGCACCCACCCCCAGUGGCAUUUGGCACCACCCCCAAAAGUUUUUGCACCCCCGCAAAUUGUAUAUAUUUUGAUUUGAUAGUUUCAUAUUGACAAAAAGGGAAAAGCCCUGGGAACAAGGUUGUCAUAUUUGAUUAUUCUUACUACUAAAUUUGUAAAAUUACCAAUAUUAUGGUCUCAGAUCUCACCGUGCAGGCCUAGAAAACAAAUUUUGUUAAACUUUUCCUUGGCCUUUCCGGGCGCCCGGCCAAAGCAAGCAGCAGCACCCCCCUGAACGAAAAUCUGUCUCUUCCUCUCACUUCCCAAACGUGCUGCAGGAGAGGGGGCAACUGCAGGGGUUAAAGCAUGGAUUGCAAGGUUGAUGUAUUGCAAGGUUGAUGUAUUGCAUGUUAUGUACCUGGUAAUAUAGAGAAAUGAGCUAGAAAUAUAUCCUUAUUCCUUGCCUAUAAUUAGUUUCUGAUUGGAUGUUCAAAGAUACACAGUGUGAAGCAUGAAAAACAAUGGAUAGAUACCUACUGCAAGAAAUUUUCAACAAAUAAUAUGGAUUUUUUCACUUCAUUUCUUACUUUCGACACAAGUAAUUAUAGUAAUUAUAAUUACAAACACAAUGUACUGUCAUUUAAAGACUUUAUAUGUGGUCCAUGUAUAUAUGUUAAUGUAAUAUAAUAUAAAAAAUAAUGUGUUUAUUGUUAAAAUAUGUGAUAUAUAAUACUGUAAACCUCUGACUACAAUCCCUGGGCUUAUAUUCUUUUGUAAGCGAUUUUUCAUGGGCUUAGGGGAGGGGGCUUAUAUGCACGGGGGUCUUAUACAUGGACAAUCAAUUGUGUUAGUAAUAAACAAGUCAUAAACAGGAAAAUAAACAUGUAUUAAUGACACACUCCAUUAACAUAGUAAGCUAUAAAGACAAUGACAGUGUUUCAAAUUCUCUGCUAUAUUAAAAGACAAUGUCAAUGUUAAAUACAUAGUGGGAUACUGGGCUUAUAUUCAGGGGACUUGGGGGGGGGGGGCUUAUAUUUGGAAUGAGGUGAGCAUUAUAUUCAGAGGUUUACAGUAUUACAGUAUACAGUUGAAAAAAGCUUGUAUUUUCUUGUCAUAGACACACAUUUCUGGGUGCAUAUAGAACAGUUUAUACGUCAGGUUCUCAUCUCGAUCCAAUGGUAAUUUGAUAUCGCUGCCAUCACCAUAAUAUAGUGUAGCACAGAAUAGCCUUGUGACUUUGACAUACUAUCAUGCAUGCAGAAUUGCAGAAAUGCUUGGUCAUUCAUGUGGAGAUGACUAUCACGAUAGAAUUAGUUACGCCAAGUAACACGUCGUACACGUCAGGUAGCAGCUGAAAUCUUUUAAUAUUUGCCAUAAUAAGCCCAUAACCUGUUGGCAAAACAACCAGAACAUCUUCACCAUUUUACAAAUUAUGGCCGAGAUGCUAUACAUUUGAAUGUCUCGUCUUUCAACGAAUAUUCAAGCUCUCUUUUCCCUAGAACAGCUUUCAUAGCCUUUCAGUAUUUGCCAUUGAAUAUAAUUUAAUAGUAGGACGAUUUAAAGCAUCUUUAAACGUAUAAAAAACCAUUUUGUACACUAUAUUCUGAUGAGAAUCUUGUUCAAAACAAUAUCGAUUGUGAGCGUGUGCCCGCGCGAAUUUACUAAGCGG